AAGAGUUUGAUCCUGGCUCAGGAUUAACGCUGGCGGCGUGCCUAAUACAUGCAAGUCGAACGGAAACCUUCGGGUUUUAGUGGCGAACGGGUGAGUAACACGUAAGCAACCUACCCUAAAGACGAGGAUAACCAUUGGAAACAGUGGCUAAGACUGGAUAGGAAGAUAAAAGGCAUCUUGUAUCUUUUAAAAGACCUAGUUAAUAGGUAUGCUUUAGGAGGGGCUUGCGCCAUAUUAGUUAGUUGGUAGGGUAAUGGCCUACCAAGACGAUGAUGUGUAGCUGGACUGAGAGGUUGAACAGCCACAUUGGGACUGAGACACGGCCCAAACUCCUACGGGAGGCAGCAGUAGGGAAUUUUCGGCAAUGGAGGAAACUCUGACCGAGCAACGCCGCGUGAAUGACGAAGUACUUCGGUAUGUAAAGUUCUUUUAUCGAGGAAGAAAAGCAAAUGGCGAACCAUUUGUUUGCCGGUACUUGAUGAAUAAGCCCCGGCUAAUUAUGUGCCAGCAGCCGCGGUAAGACAUAAGGGGCAAGUGUUAUCCGGAAUUAUUGGGCGUAAAGGGUGCGUAGGCGGUCUAGUAAGUCAGUGGUGUAAUGGCAACGCUUAACGUUGUCCGGCUAUUGAAACUGCUAAACUUGAGUUAGAUAGAGGCGAGUGGAAUUCCAUGUGUAGCGGUAAAAUGCGUAAAUAUAUGGAGGAACACCAGAGGCGUAGGCGGCUCGCUGGGUCUUAACUGACGCUGAGGCACGAAAGCGUGGGGAGCAAACAGGAUUAGAUACCCUGGUAGUCCACGCCGUAAACGAUGAGUACUAAGUGUCGGGUUAAACCGGUACUGAAGUUAACACAUUAAGUACUCCGCCUGAGUAGUACGUACGCAAGUAUGAAACUUAAAGGAAUUGACGGGACUCCGCACAAGCGGUGGAUCAUGUUGUUUAAUUCGAAGAUACCCGAAAAACCUUACCAGGUCUUGACAUGUUUUUGCAAAAUGAUAGUAAUAUCGUGGAGGUUACCAGAAACACAGGUGGUGCAUGGUUGUCGUCAGCUCGUGUCGUGAGAUGUUAGGUUAAGUCCUAAAACGAGCGAAACCCUUAUCGUUAGUUGCCAGCACGUUAUGGUGGGGACUUUAACGAGACUGCCAAUGAUAAAUUGGAGGAAGGUGAGGAUCACGUCAAAUCAGCAUGCCCCUUAUGACCUGGGCUACAAACGUGAUACAAUGGCUGUUACAAAGGGUAGCUGAAACGCAAGUUCUUGGCCAAUCCCCAAAAACAGUCCCAGUCCGGAUUGAAGUCUGCAACUCGACUUCAUGAAGUUGGAAUCGCUAGUAAUCGCGAAUCAGCAUGUCGCGGUGAAUACGUUCUCGGGGUUUGUACACACCGCCCGUCAAACCACGAAAGUUGGCAAUACCCCAAAACGGUAGCCUAACUCGUUUAUUCGAGAGGGCGCCGUCUAAGGUAGGGUCGAUGAUUGGGGUUAAGUCGUAACAAGGUAUCCCUACCGGAAGGUGGGGAUGGAUCACCUCCUUU
rnacentral:rRNA from 3 species